rnacentral:rRNA from 1 species
UGUCAAGAUUAAGCCAUGCAAGUGUUAGUUCAGGUAACGAAACUGCGAAUAGCUCAUUAAUACGCUCAGAAUCUAUUUGGCGGCGACCAACAGGUCUUAAAUGGAUAGCAGCAGCAACUCUGGUGCUAAUACAUGCGAUUGUUUCUCCAGAUGUGAAUUAUGGAGGAAAAGUUGACCUCAUCAGAGGCACGCCAUUCGACUGAGUGACCUAUCAGCUUGUACUUAGGGUCUUUACCUAGGUAGGCUAUCACGGGUAACGGGCGGUUACCGUCGGACUGCCGGAGAAGGCGCCUGAGAGAUAGCGACUAUAUCCACGGGUAGCAGCAGGCGCGAAACUUUCCCACUCGAGACUUUCGGAGGAGGUAAUGACCAGUUCCAUUGGUGCCUUUUGGUACUGUGGAUAGGGGUACGGUUUUCCACCGUACCGAAACCUAGCAGAGGGCCAGUCUGGUGCCAGCAGCUGCGGUAAUUCCAGCUCUGCGAGUUUGCUCCCAUAUUGUUGCAGUUAAAACGCCCGUAGUCUGAAUUGGCCAGCAAUGGUCGUACGUAUUUUUACGUUCACUGUGAACAAAUCAGGACGCUUAGAGUAUGGCCACAUGAAUGACUCAGCGCAGUAUGAAGUCUUUGUUUUCUUCCGAAAACAAGCUCAAUGAGAGCCAUCGGGGGUAGAUCUAUCUCAUGACGAGUGGUGGAAUACUUUGACUCAUGAGAGAGAAGCUGAGGCGAAGGCGUCUACCUAGAGGGUUUCUGUCGAUCAAGGGCGAGAGUAGGAGUAUCCAACAGGAUUAGAGACCCUGGUAGUUCCUACCUUAAACGAUGCCGACAGGAGUUUGUCAUUUGUUAAUGGCAGAAUCUUUGGAGAAAUCAUAGUCUUGGCUCUGGGACUACGACGCAGUGACUA